rnacentral:lncRNA from 1 species
AAACUGAAGGUCUAUUUUAUGGGAAAAGAUUACAACCUUACCUGGAGCUGAGUCAAUUUAGAGAGCUGAGCAAAAUACAGGAAUAGAGGGAGCAGUAGAAAAGGCCCUGUGAGCUCGCUGGGUCCUCAAGCAGGCUAUUCCUGUGUGGCAUCACAAAGAUCCUUUGGGAGGGUGACAAGAGGGAAAUGCCACAGAGAGAAGGAAAUCACCAGCUGAAUUUUGGAACAAUUUGAAGUCAUCGAGAAGCCUCCUGGCCAGAACUGAGGGAAGAGUUCAAAUCCAUUGUGCAGACUAAAUAGGCAGGGGAAGAACUAAAGUCCUGCUUUCUUUCACAGCUAGGAGCUAUUGAAGAAGAAUGACUGUAUCAUGCUGCUGAUUUCCCCAUCUUGGCUAGACAGUAUGUCAUCCUUUAUCUACAUUGGUCCCUGUAGUGAGGAUCAUGGAGCAGAUGUUGCUGGGAGAGUGAGUAUAUGUGAAAAAAAUGUGAAGGUAUUUGGUGCUGAUGAAGCAAUAUGCCCUACUGGGCAGGGGAGAGGCACAGAAUAAGAAUUCUUGCCAUGUGGAUGAACUCAUUCAAACACAAUGACUGCUUUAUGAGACAACAGAUAGAUUUCCACCUCUUCUCACAUGUACAGAGAAAAUAUUUCCAAAGUCUCCAGAAUAUUUACG